GACGGAGGAUGCAAGCGUUAUCCGGAAUGAUUGGGCGUAAAGCGUCCGCAGGUGGCAGUUCAAGUCUGCUGUCAAAGACCGGGGCUUAACUUCGGAAAGGCAGUGGAAACUGAACAGCUAGAGUAUGGUAGGGGCAGAGGGAAUUCCUGGUGUAGCGGUGAAAUGCGUAGAGAUCCUGAGGAACGCCGGUGGCGAAAGCGACGCGCUGGACCUCUUCUGACGCUGAGGCACGAAAGCCAGGGGAGCAAACGGG
rnacentral:rRNA from 1 species